UUAUCAUGUUAUCGUGUUUCAUAGCUUAUUGACACUCCAGGGCUGAUUCCAGAUUUCAACCUGUCCAAGGCUCUGAAUCUGAAUACAAACCUGAAGAUUGUUAAUGUGUACAGUGACUGUCAAAAGAAUAAGCCCUUGUGGACCACAUUUCAUCUGAAUGAGAUCUUCGACCUAAAUAGUAAAUUAGAUGUUUCAGAGUACACCCAUGAGAUUUAUCAGUCCUUUGAGGGGGCACAAAUCAACAUAGCAAACAUCACCAUCCUCAGUCCAGAGGUAAAGUCCCAGCUAAACAACUUCUCUAGCAGUGCCAGCAGUAUGAACUUCAGCAACAUCAUACAGCAGGUACACUGUAUACUUCAUUCGCAAAAGGACACUUGCACAUACUGUUUGUGAAAUCAAAUGACGUAUAAUUUAAUAACGGGCACAUAUGAGCCUUUUUU